UGAGAGUAUGUUCCUAAAAUGGAAGUUAAAUUGUCUAGACAACUAAUAUUAGAGAAAAGUUCACUUAUCAGCUUAAAUAAACUCUUGAAUCCAUGGACUUCUGAAACAACACACAUUUUAAAUGCAAAUGCAAUCUUGAAUUUUCUAAUGGGUAAAUAGGUGAAAAUAUACGUUGUUCUGUUUCUAUAUCUUUUUCAGAGAGUUAAAAUUCCCUUCUGUCUGCUUUCCAGUUCUCAUGCCCUCAGAACAGAAAAAUUCUUUUUUUAAAUUCAAAUUUACUAAGUUGGUUGAGAUACAGUAUCACCACCCAAAUAGUGACUUUAAGAUUCAUAUUUAAAUUUUUAUAUGAUUUAAAAUAAUCAGUUUUGAAGAUUAAAGUAUUUGUUUUACCUAAUUAACUCUUUUUAUGUGAUUGUUUUAUCUUAUAGCUUCAAAUUUAGCUGGUAGUAUAGAAAAACUGCAAUGCAGUCAUUUACUCAGGGAUAUAUAUAUAUAUUUAUCUCAUGCCACCUAGUAACUGUAAAUAAUUUAUUUUCUAAGAGAAAUAUGUAUAACAGAUUAGCUAAAGUCUAGGCAGUUUAUUAUUCCUCUAUGCUUUUCCGUAAUUAAGCCACACUAUUAGAGAACUAUGUAUCUGAGCUAUAUUUUGUCAGUCUCCCAUAGUUUGGUUCUUUCCUAAGUCCUCUUUUACUUAGUUCAUAUUGAGAAAAAAACCCUAUGCUGUAUGUCAAUAUGCUAUUAGGGAUUGUCGAAGUUAUAGCUAAUUACAUUAAUUAUUUUACAUGGGUGCUAACCUUUUUUGGAUGUUGGUAUCAAGAUUCAUUAUGUUUCGUUCAGAGUAAUUUUUGCAUAAUGCAGUGUUAUCUAAACUAUUCUGAAAUCACUAAUAUGUCAGAAGAUGUCUGUAAAAAGAACUGAAAAAAACAAUAGGAUUUGGGUUCAGAUAUGUUUUGGAAAAUGGGCUUACCUUCAAGCCUCUUGAACAUUUACAGUGACCAUUAGCAUGGUUAAAAUGCACUGGGCCAUUCUUCAGUGAAGCAGCCUCUUUAAUCUUGGAGUCUCUUUUUUCUCAGGUAAUGUAACUUGGAGAAUGCUGAUCUGAAGUUUCCUGUAUAUUACAUAAUUCAUGGGAGAAUUAUCAUCACAGUAGCAUGUAUCACUAUGCAUGAUAAUGUUGUAUACCAUGCAACAAUCAGGUGUAAUAAGGUGGAGUUACAUAAAGCAACAUAUACAGAUCUCGAAAAUGUAAUCAGAACGAGAGUGUUCUAUGAACUUUACAAGAAUAGAGCACAUGCUACCUGGCAAGUAAUUAGAACUUCUUCAUAUGCAAGAUUAAAAUAACCUCCUUCCUCUGGCUCCUUUUACCUACAUAUUUUGCAUACAGUUUUGCACCUACUUUAAUGGCUUUCUUUCUUCCUUAUAAUAAUUUAGGGGUGUUUGUAAGCCUCCUUGGUAAAGCUUGGCUACAAAUAAACAAAAUAAACUUUAUUCUAAAUCAGUAAUUGCUUGUCUUGUUGAGUAGUGGUAACUUUGAAUUAUUUCCUUGUUCUUCCAUCCUUUUACCUGGGGGUAGGGAGAGAGGAGGUAGGAUAUUUGCAUGUGUAUGUGAUAAUUCUGAGCUUUGACAACAAUGUUCCUCUUGCCAAGAUCAUCUAGUUUGAUUAGCAUCUUUAUGUAUUUCAUCUAUUUAUUGUGUAGAUGAGAAGAUGAGCAGAAAAAAAAGGAGUCAAAGGAAAACACUAUUGUGUUCUCUGGGACCUCUUCAUAUGAAGGGGACAUCAUUCAUUAUUUUCUGACGAUAAAAAUCAGGAAUGUAACAAUAGAUAUCAGGGAUGAGGAUAGUAUGUAAAACAUGCAGGACUGUGAAGAGCGUUGAAAAUGAUAUUCGGCAUUACAGGUCAGCCUAAAUCAUAACUGUUGUUAUAUUGUUGAAUCAUGCUUAUGGUAAAUUGGUUUCUGUCUCAAGAAAAAAGUUUAUUACUUAUCUACUGUGCAGGUAGGACAGGUAAGAACUGUGAAACACAAGGAGUGGCUACAAAAAAAAAGUGAAGUGGAGGCAUUGCAAGGAGUCCUCAGUUUGAAAAGUCCUGCUGAUUGUGUAAUACAAAGUUUAUUUCCUUUUCUUUCAAUGCAUCAGGCAAUAGACAUCACACUCAUUGAACUUUAAAAAGUCCUACUUUCUUGUUAUAUAAUAAUGCAGUUAAGCUUGAUGGCAUCAUUUAAUUUACUGUCCCAUGAUCAAUUAGAUAAAUUAGGGGCUGUAUAAUGGAGUGGCUAAGAGCUUUGUCUCUGGAAUUAUUAAAAUCUGGGGAAGAAUCUGAUCUUAACAAAUAGUUGUGGAAUUUGGUGUGUGUAUUUAAACUCAGCCUUCUUUUCAUCUGUAGAAUGGGAUAAUGGUAGUAGAAAUCUCAUAGGGUUGUUGCAAGAAUGAAAUUGAAUAAUGCUGAUAAAAGUAGUCAGCACACUAACUAGCGCUUAGUAAGUAAUCAAAUUUAGCUAUGUGAUUAUUACUGCUAUUCCUUAUUGAUUUAUAUUUGUUUUAUUAUCUUUACCUCAUGUUCCUCAGCUGAGAGCAGUUAUGCCCCCAGAGGAUGUUUGACAAUGUUUGGAGACAGUUUUGAUUGUUACAGUUUUGGGGGUGCAUGGAAGGGAGUGGAGGAGGGAAGGUGCUGCUGGCAUCUAGUGGAUAGAAGCCAGGGAUGCUGCUGAAUAUUAUGUUGUGCACAGGACAGCCUCAUGACAAAGAAUUAUUUGGCUGCAGUAUGUCAACGGUAGAGAGGUUGAGAAACUUUAAGUAUUUAUUUUUGAGCCCUAAGCUGAAUGAUAUUAAUUCUUUUGUAUUUCUUUAAUAUCUACUGGUAUGUAAUGCUUUCUUUGUGUUAUAGUCAAAUUGGUAGCCCCAUCUAUGUAACCACAGUUUCUUUCUUUCUUAAGUUUUUCCCAUUAACGGUAAGUUCUAUGAAAGAGUCAUCAGAAGAUUCCUUAUUUUUUAUUCCCCAGAACACAGAAUAUGAAGGCCUUUGGUUUUAGGAUAAAGCGAGUAUAUAAACAUCAAAAAAGAAAUAAUUUUGAUUAGAAUUAUUUUAUUCUUUGUACACCAUUUAUUAUAAGAAAUGAGUUCUCAAGAAUGGCUGUACAUGAUAUGAACAGGAAUAUAAAUAUCUGGUAAAUGUCAACAAAGGUAGAAAUAUAAAAUACGGUUUAAACAUGAAAAAUUAAUACAUACAAUUAAAUUUAAAUUACCUACUCUGACUAGUGAAAUGCAUACAGCUCUUUGCAAAUCGAGACUGGUACUUUUUCAGUAUUUAUGUGACAAGAAAUAGAUAUAAUUUAUUAAAAUUUUGGAAAUAACUGUAAUUUUAAUGUCAUAUGGGUUGUUUUUACAGUGAAUUUUGUUGAACUGAUGUGCUUACAAAGGGGAUGAUAGGAAUUGCUUUCUCUAGGUCCUUUACUUGUAAAAAGUCAGAAAUCUAUGCUUUCUUGGCCUUUUUCCAUAUUCAGUAAAACCCCGUAUAAAUUUCUGUUCUAUUCAAUGCGUUUAGUACAGUGAUGUAUAGCAUUCUUUUACUAUAACAUGGAAAUCAUGUGUUAUUCCUAUCACUUUAGGACCCAAAUGAACAAAGAUAAUAGUAUAAUUUCAUCUGAAUAAUCUGGACUGUGACAGAAUGACAAGUAUAGAUAAAGCAAUAGAUAUCUUUACUUCUCUCUCUCAGCAUUGACUUUAUUUCCACAUAAUAUAUUUUUAUUGGAAGUCAUCAUUUAAGACUUAGAUUCACAUGUAGAGAAGUAUUAAAGUCCUAGAGUAUUAUUAGUGGUUCAUUGUCAGCCUGAGUUUGAACAGUAGGUCAGGGGACUUUUGAAUGAUGCUUCCAGGGCAUGUGAAAUUAUUAAACAUGUUCAUAGAUGACCUGGCUGAUGAGAUGAAAAAUCUAUAAAAUUAUGAAGAUCAUAAUAUCAGAUUGGUACUCUGGGGUUUAUUGUUGAUAAUUUGAAUUGAGAGUUAUUUAACAAGGAGAAAAAAUAGAAAUUCAUGGGUUAAAGAUUAAUGGAAUAAUUCUACUAGUUAUAAAUAAAAGAGAGCCCAUAAAUAAAAGAUGUAAAAGCUUGGGCCUUUAUUCAUAGAUUAGAAGCUAAAUAUGAAUAAGAAGCAUAGUAUUUUAAAAAUAUGUUUAUAAAACUCCAAUGUUGUAUAAUGGGAAGUCAUUGUUUAGGAACUACAAUGUAAUCUAUUCAUGACUUACAAAGGAGAUGGGAAGUUUAAUGAUCUUGUGAAAAACGGAGCAUACUGCUUAUUACAGUAAUGUCUGGGACCAUCAGGCAGGAAUAAGUACUAUUGGGGCAUUAAUUUCUCCAUCAUAAUUGAAAACCCAGAGAUGGCUUUGUUUUCAUGAAUAUGAGGCCAGAGAUUCAAGACUUUCAUCAUCUUUGUCUUGCUUUUUGUGAAGAUAAUAUGGCUCGUGAUUCUUGUUGCUUAAAUGAACAUAGUCAUUUUUUAAAAAAUUUUCCAAAAAUUCUCCAAAUACUCAGGACAAAAAAAAAAAAUAAAACCCAAUAACAACUGUAGUUUUCAGACUUUUGUUAGAUACAGAUCCUUUCUUGAGACUACACCUGGAUGUUCAAUAUGCAAAGCAGAUAAAAAGGAAGCUGUUUUGUUUGGAGAAUGACAGGUGGCCUCUCUAAACUUUAGGCAUAUCUUCACUUCAAAAACCUGUUUAUUGAAAAUACUCAAAAUUUUUACCCUUUCUGAUACUCAAAAAAGCAAACUGUUCUGGAAAGCAGACUGCUAGCUGUUAGAAUGUUCUACAAGUCGAUAGCAUGAAAUGUUUAUUUAUGCUAUAUGUAAAAGUAAGGUCAGCAUACACAGAAUUUACAUAAUUAAAAUUUAUAAUGCAACAUUAAAUUUUAAAAAUGAUUACAGAAUUUUAUUUAUUUUUUCAACUGUACAGCAUGAGGGCCAAGUUACACAUACAUGUAUACAUACUUUUUCCUCCCAUUGUUGUGUUGCAGUGUAAGUAUCUAGACAUAGUUCUCAAUGCUACACAGCAGGAUUGAUUACAGAAUUUAAUUAUUAUUAAUUUCUUAGUGCAGUGCCUGUAUAGCAGCCUUGAAAAUUUCCCUCUCAUAUCUAACCUUCAUCACUCCUGCAUAGUAAAAUACUG
rnacentral:lncRNA from 1 species